rnacentral:rRNA from 1 species
GGACUACAGGGGUUUCUAAUCCUGUUUGAUACCUAUGCUUUUGCGCCUCAGUGUCAGUAUUAAAAUAGAUAGCAGCCUUCGCCUAUUGCAUGCCCUUUAAAUAUCGGAAAAUUUCACCUUUACACUUAAUGUUCAGCUAUCUUCUAAUAAACUCUAGCCCGUUAGUAUUAAAAAGUUUUUAAACGCUACGUUUAACAUUUGCUUUGAAACUUAACGAGCCACCUACGCGCCCUUUACACCCAGUCAAUGCGAAUAACACUAGCCCUCUCCGUAUUACCGCGGCUGCUGGCAC